UACAGAGGUCUCAAGCGUUGUUCGGAUUUAUUGGGCGUAAAGGGCGCGUAGGCGGCGGGGUAAGUCGGGUGUGAAAUCUCAGGGCUCAACCCUGAAACUGCACUUGAUACUGCUCUGCUUGAGGACUGGAGAGGAGACUGGAAUUCACGGUGUAGCAGUGAAAUGCGUAGAUAUCGUGAGGAAGACCAGUGGCGAAGGCGGCUCACUGGACCGGUACUGACGCUGAUGCGCGAAAGCGUGGGGAGCAAACGGG
rnacentral:rRNA from 1 species